AAUAAAAUGGUAUAAUUCUAGGGGUGACCACGGUUCCGGUUCAAACCGGAACCGUAACCGGAACCGUCA